GUCGCCUCCUAAAUAGUAACGGAGGCGUACAAAGGUUUCCUCUGAACGGGUAGAAAUCGUAUCUAGAGUAUAAAGGCAAAAGGAAGCUUGACUGUGAGACCUACAAGUCGAGCAGGGUCGAAAGACGGAUAUAGUGAUCCGGUGGUUCUGUAUGGAAGGGCCAUCGCUCAAAGGAUAAAAGGUACUCCGGGGAUAACAGGCUGAUCUCCCCCAAGAGCUCAUAUCGAC
rnacentral:rRNA from 1 species